rnacentral:rRNA from 1 species
GAUGAACGCUGGCGGCGCGCCUAACACAUGCAAGUCGAACGAUUAAAGCACCUUCGGGUGUGUAUAAAGUGGCGAACGGCUGAGUAACACGUGGGCAACCUGCCCCUCUCAUUGGGAUAGCCACGGGAAACCGUGGAUAAUACCGAAUACUUCGGGACUUCCGCAUGGAAGACUCGAGAAAGCUCCGGCGGAGAGGGAUGGGCCCGCGGCCUGUUAGCUUGUUGGUGGGGUAAUGGCCUACCAAGGCAAUGAUGGGUAGCUGGGUUGAGAGACCGACCAGCCAGAUUGGGACUGAGACACGGCCCAGACUCCUACGGGAGGCAGCAGUGGGGAAUCUUGCACAAUGGGCGAAGGCCUGAUGCAGCGACGCCGCGUGCGGGAUGAAGGCCUUCGGGUGGUAAACCGCUUUCAGCAGGGACGAGGCGAAAGUGACGGUACCUGCAGAAGAAGCCCCGGCUACUACGUG